rnacentral:rRNA from 1 species
CGGGGGGAGCAAGCGUUGUUCGGAUUUACUGGGCGUAAAGGGCGGGUAGGCGGCCACCGCAAGUCGACUGUGAAAUCUCCGGGCUUAACCCGGAAAGGUCAGCCGAUACUGCGGGGCUAGAGUGCAGAAGGGGCAACUGGAAUUCUCGGUGUAGCGGUGAAAUGCGUAGAUAUCGAGAGGAACACCUGCGGCGAAGGCGGGUUGCUGGGCUGACACUGACGCUGAACUGCGAAAGCUAGGGGAGCGAACGGGAUUAGAUACCCCGGUAGUCCUAGCCUUAAACGAUGAAUGCUUGGUGUCUGGGGUUUUAUAGUCCCCGGGUGCCGUCGCUAACGCUUUAAGCAUUCCGCCUGGGGAGUACGGCGCAAGGUC